GUCAUCAUAGUUCAAUUUCUGUAACCAGUCAGUUAAUUUCCGUUUACACCUAUUUUUAGUGAGGUUGUAUAUAGGCAGAAAUCUAUUGAUUUUGUUGUACAAAAAGCCACCCAAGCUGCAAAAGAAUCGCUUUGAGAACCUUGUGGAAAACUUGCUACACUGUACAGGAUUGUACCGCCUUUUGGCGUCUGACACUGACGGGUGAUAUUCAAGAAGUGUGUGUUGUCUUAGUAGGGUGUCAAGUAUAAACAAUUGGCGCACCGUUAAGACCUGGCACUCUUUGUAUAACAAUACAGUAGGGUAACGAUACGGUUUAAAUAAUGAUACCUUCAGUAUAGCUCUUUUAGGUCCAAACUUGUAUAUAUAUAUAUA